GGGCGUGUGGCACAGUGGGAGGAACUGGGCUUGUAACCGAAAGGCCCAGGUUCGAUUCCCGGGUAAGGACA
rnacentral:tRNA from 1 species